UAUAAAUGUUAAAAUUAUCAGAAAUGGCAUUUCAGUCAAAUGCAGUGAUUGUGCUGAUAUAAUGAAAGAAAUACAUUAAAACAACAAUGGAAAUCAUUAAUGGUUUGGGCUGAAGUGGUUUCCUUUUUUAUCAGACAUGCACUGAAUUCUAUAAGAACAGAACUAAGUCCCAAAAUGAAAUUUAAAUCUACUUAUCUCAAGAAAUUUUAACAAUUUCAACAAUGAAAUCUUAAAUGUAGUUGUUAAUGAGAAUUACAUUUUUGCAAUUAAACACACAAGAGAAAGGAGAAAGUGUAGAAUAUAUAGAUCUAAGUUCCUUGUGUGGCCUUCCACAGGUGCAGGAGGAAAGGCCACAGGAAAAUGAUCAUCAUUCUCUGAUACAUAAGCCGUAUCUAAAAAUGCCUGCAUCAGACCAUGUACAGCCAGAAUGCUCCACUCACUAAAUCAAGCAAUAGUCUACAAAAAGAAGAAAGCAACAUAGCAUAUUUUCUCAAAAUGAAGAUGAAGCAGGGAGUUCUUCCAGCUCCCCGUAGAGCUCCAGAUUGAGGCGGGCAAGUUUCUCCUGCAUGCUCCGCACAUGCUCCAUUUGCUCUAUGGAACAUUCAUUUCCUAAGAGGACAAAUGAUAACGUUAGAGAAGGAAAGCUGAAAGAACAAAUGGAAGUGUGAAGAUGACAGCGUUUUACAUCAGAGAAGGUAAAUCUGGUGUUCAAACUUAUAAUUUGCUCUCUAAAUUAUUUCUUCCUUUUUCAUUGCUGAAGUUUCUGUCAUUCUGUCUGGUGUUGUGUUGUCCUGAAUUUUUGAUAACCACCGAACACACUUAACAGCUUUUUUAGAAUAUACAUUUCACUGGCUAUUUUCUCUCCCACUUAAGAAGCCUCUGUAUUUUAAUUUUAAAUCUGAUACAAUAAACUUUCUUCACAAUUUUGA